ACGUAGGCAUCAAGCGUUGUCCGGAUUUAUUGGGCGUAAAGAGCUCGUAGGCGGUUCAGCAAGUCGGGUGUGAAAACUCUGGGCUUAACCCAGAGCCUGCACUCGAAACUGCUGUGACUAGAGUUCGGUAGGGGAGCAGGGAAUUCCUAGUGUAGCGGUGAAAUGCGCAGAUAUUAGGAGGAACACCAAUGGCGAAGGCACUGCUCUGGGCCGAUACUGACGCUGAGGAGCGAGAGCGUGGGUAGCAAACAGG
rnacentral:rRNA from 1 species